GGGGUGGUAGUAUAAAAGUAUACGUAGUUUCGGCCUACGAGGAGAAUUAUUAUUCUCACUCCU
rnacentral:tRNA from 1 species